AUUUAUUUAAUAUAAAUAAGUAUAUUUGACUUCCAAUCAAAAAGUUUAAUAUCAAUUAAAAUAAAUA
rnacentral:tRNA from 1 species